CUAACACAUGCAAGUCUGAGCGGAUGACGGGGGCUUGCUCCUUGAUUCAGCGGCGGACGGGUGAGUAAUGCCUAGGAAUCUGCCUGGUAGUGGGGGACAACGUUUCCAAAGGAACGCUAAUUCCGCAUACGUCCUACGGGAGAAACCAUGGGACCUUCGGGCCUUGCGCUAUCANAUGAGCCUAGGUCGGAUUAACUANUUGGUGGGGUAAUGGCUCACCAAGGCGACCAUCCGUAACUGGUCUGAGAGGAUG
rnacentral:rRNA from 1 species